GGCUUGUCGCUGGCAUCUUAUGAUGCGAGAGGAAAGUCCGGGCAGCACAGGGCAUCCCACUUCAGAAAUUGAAGCUAUCAGAAACGGUAGGUGAGGUCAGAAGAGAACGACCGCCCGCUUCGGCGGGUAAGGGUGAGAAGGCGGUGUAAGAGACCACCGGCCGGCCGGGUGACCGACGGCGCUGUGACUACUGGGAGCUGCAAGUUCGCGUAUACCAUCGUCUGAGGGUAGCCCGCCCGACUCACUCCGAUGGAGGGUAGAACGCUUGAGCCGAGGGGUGACCCGAGGCCUAGACAAAUGACAGGCAUUGUGGUGCUCGCACCGCAACACAGAACCCGGCUUAUAGGA
rnacentral:RNase_P_RNA from 1 species